rnacentral:sRNA from 1 species
UUGCUUCCAAAGCUUCAGGCUCAGUCUAAGAGGACAACCUUCCCCAAUAGAGGAGGACUCUCCUUCAGUCAAGGGUAUAUGAGUAGCUGUGCUCCCCUGCUAGACCCUCCAAUCAAAUUCUCAGAUUGACAUGCCUAUAGGUGAUC